rnacentral:rRNA from 1 species
GUAGUCUCGCACAGAUGCAUAUCAAUAAGCGGAGGAAAAAGAAACUAACAAGGAUUCCCCUAGUAACGGCGAGUGAAGCGGGAAGAGCUCAAAUUUGAAAUCUUAAAGGGUUUCCCUUUACGAAUUGUAGUUUAAAGAAGUGUUUUCUGUUGAGGUUUUGGUAAAAGUUCUUUGGAAUAGGACAUCAUAGAGGGUGAGAAUCCCGUAUUUGACCUUUACUUUCAACUUUGUGAUGACACUUUCAAAGAGUCGGAUUGUUUGGGAAUGCAGUCCAAAAUGGGUGGUAAAUUUCAUCUAAAGCUAAAUAUUGGCGAGAGACCGAUAGCGAACAAGUACCGUGAGGGAAAGAUGAAAAGAACUUUGAAAAGAGAGUUAAACAGUACGUGAAAUUGUCAAAAGGGAAGCGUUUGACACCAGUGUUGUUUUUCUGAAAAUCAAUUAAAGAACUGUUUAUGCUAAGCUGUUUAGACUUUAUCAGCUAUCUGUUUAGUUUUGAGCUUUUCUUUAAUGCACUUUUCAGUUAACAAGUCAACAUCAAUUUCUUUUGCUGUAAAAAAGCUUGAGGAAGGUGGCUUGAGAUUCGUCUUAAGUGUUUAUAGCCUCUUGCCUAUGCAGUCGGAGAGAUUGAGGUCUGCAGCGUAGAUCCUUCGGGGCUAAAUGCAUUUGUGCUAAGUUAUAGCAUUUUAUAGACAACUUGUUGACUAUGAUCUGUCUUGUAGCUUACUCGCUUAUGUUAUUUUACCUACGCUUAGGAUGUUGAUCUGUAGUGCGUGCGC